AUUGAACGCUGGCGGCAGGCCUAACACAUGCAAGUCGAGCGGAUGAAGGGAGCUUGCUCCUGGAUUCAGCGGCGGACGGGUGAGUAAUGCCUAGGAAUCUGCCUGGUAGUGGGGGAUAACGUCCGGAAACGGGCGCUAAUACCGCAUACGUCCUGAGGGAGAAAGUGGGGGAUCUUCGGACCUCACGCUAUCAGAUGAGCCUAGGUGGGAUUAGCUAGUUGGUGGGGUAAAGGCCUACCAAGGCGACGAUCCGUAACUGGUCUGAGAGGAUGAUCAGUCACACUGGAACUGAGACACGGUCCAGACUCCUACGGGAGGCAGCAGUGGGGAAUAUUGGACAAUGGGCGAAAGCCUGAUCCAGCCAUGCCGCGUGUGUGAAGAAGGUCUUCGGAUUGUAAAGCACUUUAGGUUGGGAGGAAGGGCAGUAAGUUAAUACCUUGCUGUUUUGACGUUACCAACAGAAUAAGCACCGGCUAACUUCGUG
rnacentral:rRNA from 1 species